AGCUUUUGUCAGAAAGGAGCGAGUCAAACCCUUUUACUAACUUCCCCUCCCCAGCAAGUCCCCAUCCUGCCGCCGGUUUCUCCCCCAUCAACCUUAGCUGGUUCUGUAGCAAUCUCAGGCCCUCGCCCAGUGAGUCCCGCCAUCCUGGUCCUGUUUCCCUCGCUGAGGAGGUCAAUUUUUCUGGACUUAACUUCAGCUCUCGGCCACUUUCUAUCGAUCUGUUCUCUGGCUGGGCUGAACUGGACGCCAGGUUUCUCUUGGGGGUCCACAUUCUCACAGGCUCACCACCACUCCUCACCCAGGAAUACAACUUCAAGGAAAGAUGCUAAGUGAUUUGAAUCUCUUCCACUUGGAGCUGUGCUGGACCUUCAUUGCAGCAUGUGGGCUUCUUAGUUUCAGCACAUGGGAUCUAAUUCCCUGACCAGGGAUCAAAUCUGGGCCGUCCUGCAUUGGGAGCAUGGAAUCUUACCCACUGGACCACCAGGUGCCAGAAGAAGCUUAAAAGGAGGAUGCAGAAGGUAACCAAAAGUUAGCAGCAGCAGGAAUCCACGCACCUAGACUGAAGGGAUGAAAGGAGGAAGCGGUUUUGGAUGGAAGAGUUACAGCAGAUACUCCUGAUAAGAAGAGACUGCACUCCCUCUCUGUGGUUCAUUGAACCCAUAUGGAUCAGAACAGCUGGAAAGAUGGAUUUGCUACCUGAGGCCACCAGUUGUGUUGCCAACCAUGACUCCCACUUGCUGACCCUUGUAUAAUGCAUUGCAGUUGAAGGAAUGUUGAUCACUCCUUUCUAGUUUGUGAUGGAUGUGUUAUUUAAAACUGAUGGUCUUGUAAACCACUGGUGAGUUUCCAUAUCUCACAGAUGUGAACAAGCCAGAUAGUCAAUAAAUAAUGCCAUGUUCUAGAGGAACAUGGCAUGCAGGCUAAAUUGUCCUGCAAACAAGCAGGUGGGAAGGUAACUUAGACCUGGUUUGGAAAGGCUUCUAGAAAAAAAAAUGGUUUCUGACUGUUAUCGUUAUAAACAGCAUGCUUCCUUAGGGUCUGUGUUUUAAGAUUACUUUAUCUGAGUUGCUUGAUCCCUAGGUCAGCUCCUGAGAGCACCUGCAUUACCUAGAAUGCUCACCUAUGGCAAGCUGAGCUUGAGAGGACAAAGCUUUACUGAUUUAGAUAUACCUACUCAGGCUGGGGUGGUGGGUCCAACUUCUUAAGAGGUGAAUUUCUUUGAUUGUGUAACAUCCUUUGAGCCAUCCAUAGAGAGUUGUUUGGAAGC
ensembl:lncRNA